rnacentral:rRNA from 1 species
GACGGGGCCGCACAGCGGUGAGCAUGUGGUUAAUCGAAGCAACGCGAAGAACCUUACCAGGUCUUGACAUCCCCUGACAACCCGAGAGAUCGGGCGUUCCCCUUCGGGGGACAGGGUGACAGGUGGUGCAUGGUUGUCGUCAGCUCGUGUCGUGAGAUGUUGGGUUAAGUCCCGCAACGAGCGCAACCCUCGACCUUAGUUGCCAGCAUUCAGUUGGGCACUCUAAGGUGACUGCCGGCUAAAAGUCGGAGGAAGUGGGGAUGACGUCAAAUCAUCAUGCCCCUUAUGACCUGGGCUACACACGUGCUACAAUGGGCGGUACAAAGGGUCGCGAACCCGCGAGGGGGAGCCAAUCCCAAAAAGCCGCUCUCAGUUCGGAUUGCAGGCUGCAACUCGCCUGCAUGAAGCCGGAAUCGCUAGUAAUCGCGGAUCAGCAUGCCGCGGUCGAAUACGUUCCCGGGCCUU